AUGAACUUGGAAUUCUUCUACGACAAUGUGGGUAGCCGUGUCAAACCAGGUAGAGACCCUAACCGCAUUAGAGCUUUUCUUCAGACAUACAAGGAGAUUGAAAAUGCAGACACACAUUUUCAACUUCAGGAGGAUCUCAUUGAGCACCAUUGGCAAAGGGCUGGACAGUGA
rnacentral:rRNA from 1 species